rnacentral:rRNA from 1 species
UACGGAGGGAGCUAGCGUUAUUCGGAAUUAUUGGGCGUAAAGGGCGUGUAGGCGGCUUCGUAUGUCCCAUGUGCCCUCCCUCUUCUCCCACGGGGAACUGCAUGGGAAACUGCGAGGCUUGAGUCCGGGAGAGGUGAGUGGAAUUCCCAGUGUAGCGGUGAAAUGCGUAGAUAUUGGGAGGAACACCGGUGGCGAAGGCGGCUCACUGGACCGGUACUGACGCUGAGACGCGAAAGCCAGGGGAGCAAACGGG